GACGCCUGCCCAGUGAAUAAUUAAACGGCCGCGGUACCCUAACCGUGCAAAGGUAGCAUAAUCAUUUGUCUAUUAAUUGUAGACCUGUAUGAAAGGCAAAAUGAGGGUCUAACUGUCUCUUAUAGCAAAUCAAUUAAACUGAUCUCCUAGUACAAAAGCUAGAAUACCAACAUAAGACCAGAAGACCCUGUGAAGCUUUAAAAAACCUAUUAAAUCAAAUAAUAACUACUUUCGGUUGGGGCGACCUUGGAACAAAAAAGAACUUCCAACACAUGACUCACUCAUAAAAUAGGCAAACAAGCCAACACCUGAUCCAGUAUAGCUGAUAAAUGAAACAAGUUACUCCAGGGAUAACAGCGCCAUCUUCUUCAAGAGCCCAUAUCAAAAAGAAGGUUUACGACCUCGAUGUUGGAUCAGGACACCCCAGUAAUGUACCCGUUACUAAAGGUUCGUUUGUUCAACGAUUAAUAGUCCUACGUGAUCUGAG
rnacentral:rRNA from 1 species